CGCAAGGGAUCCACCUCUUUCCAUCCCGAACAGAGAAGUUAAGCCUUGUCGCGCCGAUGGUACUGGGGUUACACCUGGGAGAGUAGGUCGCCGCC
rnacentral:rRNA from 1 species